rnacentral:lncRNA from 1 species
UUUGUUUUGAUGAUGUUCGCUAUUUAUUGUCCAUCACUUAUUAAAAAAAAAAAUAUAUUAGUUGUAGGCAUCCAAGCAGAAGGCAGAAGCAAUACCAUAGAGCUGGGUAGGCAGCCACAUCACUGACUCAACCAAUAACCACAGCCAAAAUGGUUUUGAAUGCUCCAUCACCUGCAUAUUAUUUCUGCCAAAUUUUCAUGAGUAUUUCUGAAUAACAAAAGCAUUAGUAGAAAAUCAGACUCUGUUUUCAAGCUGUUGUGCAGUGAAAAUAAAAAGGGAAAAAAAUCAUCACAAAUAUUACUGGAAAAAAAAAAAAAAGAAUGCAAGGAAGGGGAAAUCCCGGCCCAGUUGCAUGUCAUGCAACUUCAUGAAAUACUUUUACUGUUUUCAGGUCCUCUGGCAAAUGCAGGCUCUGAACAAAACCCAGCCUUGUCAAGCAAACUGCUUCCUAACUGCAAGCAUGGCGACCAUUCCUGCAAACAAAGGGAGAAGAAAAUAUGGCAAACUGAGCUCAGGAGUCCCACAAGAGUGUUACUCUGAGAACAUUAGUGGUGCUGACCAGCUCGUAAAGCUCGCCGUCGUGUUGAGUGCUCCUAGCCUCUGA